rnacentral:rRNA from 1 species
CGUGUAGGUGGCCUUGCAAGUCAGGCGUGAAAUCCUCCGGCUUAACUGGAGAAGUGCGCUUGAUACUGCAAGGCUUGAGUGCGGGAGAGGAGAGUGGAAUUCCCGGUGGAGCGGUGAAAUGCGUAGAUAUCGGGAAGAACACCGGUGGCGAAGGCGGCUCUCUGGACCGCAACUGACACUGAGACGCGAAAGCUAGGGGAGCAAACGGGAUUAGAUACCCCGGUAGUCCUAGCCGUAAACGUUGGGCACUAGGUGUAGGAGGUAUCGACCCCUCCUGUGCCGCAGUUAACACAAUAAGUGCCCCGCCUGGGGAGUACGGCCGCAAGGCUGAA